rnacentral:lncRNA from 1 species
UUCAUUAUUCUUGCUGGCACAAGAAAAAAACCCUAGAGGCUGCAAUCAUAUUCUUUGUGUGGAUCACCGUUGGAGGCUGGACAAUUGGACAGCUGUGGUGGCGAAUCAAAGUUGUGGAACGAAAAGAAAAGCAAAAGGAUUGCAGAUCUGGAAAAGGUACAAUCUUAUCACAAUUUCUAACCAAACACAAUGAGAUCUAUUGGAUGGGAAUCGAAAUAUAUUUUAAAUUCCGCUGUGCAUGUAUAAGUAGAUUCCCAACAGUGGUAUCAGAGCCUACUUUGUGUUUGUUA